rnacentral:lncRNA from 1 species
CUCACCACCCCUAAAGCUGACCUAGAAGCAACGAGCCCCGGGAGGCCCUGCACCUGCACCAGCGCCAGCCCUGCUCACCAGACUAAGGUGUAGCUCUCAGUUACUGCUCCAGCAACUGCCUGCAUGCUGCCAUGUUUCCUGCCAUGAUGAUAAUGGACUAACCCUCUGAAACUGCAUACAUCACCGUAUGUAGUGUAUGUUGUGCUGAUGGACCCCAAGACUUCACUCAAGGACUCCAUCAACUGAGCUACAUCCGCAGACCUACAUGUGCUUUUGUUAGCCAUUCUGAAGUCAUAUGCUUUUGUUUCUCUUGAGUAUAUACCAGGCAGUGAAGAUACUGGUUCAUGGCAAUGGCUACAUGUGUAACUUUGGUAGAUGCCGUCCAUUGUUCUGGUUUUUGUGAUCCAUGAGUUGAAUUGGUUUAAUGAUACUUCUGCUUACAUUCUGUUCCUGGAAUCUAGUCACUUGUCCCCAGCCUAGCUUUAAAGUAGAAGAGGAACUGCU